rnacentral:rRNA from 1 species
UUGGAGGGCAAGUCUGGUGCCAGCAGCCGCGGUAAUUCCAGCUCCAAUAGCGUAUAUUAAAGUUGUUGCAGUUAAAAAGCUCGUAGUUGAAUUUCGGGAUUCAUCCGUUGGUCGGGCUUCACGGUCCGUACUGGUGUGAUGGGUUCCUACCUUCUGAAUAACCGGCAUGCCAUUGAUUUGGUGCGCCGGGGAAGCAGAACUAUUACCUUGAAAAAAUUAGAGUGCUUAAAGCAGGCAAGUGCCUGAAUAGGUUAGCAUGGAAUAAUAAAAUAGGACGGCAUGGUUCUAUUUUGUUGGUUUCUAGGAUCACCGUAAUGAUUAAUAGGGAUAGUUGGGGGCAUUAGUAUUCAAUUGUCAGAGGUGAAAUUCUUGGAUUUAUUGAAGACUAACUUCUGCGAAAGCAUUUGCCAAGGAUGUUUUCAUUAAUCAAGAACGAAAGUUAGGGGAUCGAAGACGAUCAGAUACCGUCGUAGUCUUAACCAUAAACUAUGCCGACUAGGGAUCGGACGAUGUUAAUUUUUUAAUGACUCGUUCGGCGCCUUACGGGAAAC